UCGAGUUCCAUUCGCCGUAGAGCUGAUGCCAUCUUAGAGUUUCUUUCUGCAAACUGUUCUUCUGAAGUUACUAUCCGCCAGGUUCUCGGCGAUAGCCCCGACACCAGCAAAGCUCUCAGAAUGCUGUUGAAGAUGGAAGAAGUCAAGAGGUCUGGCACAGGAGGAAGGCAGGACCCUUAUAUUUACAAGAUUGCAUGAUGAGGAUCUAUGACUUGACGAAGACAGGUAAGACGUAUCCUCUUCUGGUUUUUAUACAACAUGAUUCAGUUCUUUGACAUGGUAAUUAGGAGA